UCCUUUAUGAGGGUCGUCAGAGACGAUGACGUGGAUAGGGUGCAGGUGUAAAGACGGCGACGUCAAAGCCGAGCACUACUAAUAGCCCGAAAGCUUUUGCUUG
rnacentral:rRNA from 1 species